CAGAGCCAGGCAGGGAAACACUCGCGUUAUAUAACCGGGAGCAGCUCGCCCCUCCCGGCGCUCCCACACCCCGACCGACCGACCGACAGCCCGACAGCAAGCCCGAGCAGGGGCGGCCGCACGGCGGCAGCGGGGGGUGGAAGUGGGGGGGCCGUGCCUCCGCCCCCAGCACGGGGAAGGGGCCAGAUGCAGCUUAAUGUCCCCAGUGGCGGGUCGGGGGAGGGACCAAGCGGUUUUACCCCCUCGGGGCCGGAGGCGGUGGCAGGCUCCCGUGCCGAGAGGCUCCUUGCAAGCGGCCGGUCCCCGAUAGCUCAUCUGCUUCCGACGGGACGAGAAGCGGCCGUUCUCCCCGGGAUCCCUUCGAGUCACCUUGGUGACAACCCCCUGCCAGCCGAACCCGAACAAAAGCCGCGGUGCCCCUUGGCCGAGCAACAGGCCGGGGAAGGCGGCGGCGUAGGUCUCGCCUCUUGACCGGGGCUCUGGAAGAAUACGCGGGACCGAGUCAGCGAGCGCCUUGUUUACCCGACAAUCGCUCUAACCCCCGAUCUUAAUCACAGGAUGAGAAACCAAAACAGUUUAAACCGUGA